CCAAUGCAUUCAGAUUGGUUUUCACCAGCAAUGGUGAAUCGAUUAGAAAGACAAGUGGUACCGCAUUUUUUCUCUGGAAAAUCACCAGAUCAUACUCCAGAGAAAUACAUGGAAUGUAGGAAUUAUGUUUAUGGAGAAUCCAGAGAAGAGGAUCACAGUUUCUGAUUGUCAGGGAUUGGUUGCUGGAAUUGAGAAUGAAGAUUUAGCUAGAACUGUUAGGUUUCUUGAUCAUUGGGGAAUUAUCAAUUACUGUGCAGCCCC
rnacentral:misc_RNA from 1 species